CGGCAGGCCUAACACAUGCAAGUCGAGCGGGGUUUCGGACCUAGCGGCGGACGGGUGAGUAAUGCGUAGGAAGCUACCCGACAGAGGGGGAUACCAGUUGGAAACGACUGUUAAUACCGCAUAAUGUCUACGGACCAAAGUGUGGGACCUUCGGGCCACAUGCUGUCGGAUGCGCCUACGUGGGAUUAGCUAGUUGGUGAGGUAAUGGCUCACCAAGGCGACGAUCCCUAGCUGGUUUGAGAGGAUGAUCAGUCACACUGGAACUGAGACACGGUCCAGACUCCUACGGGAGGCAGCAGUGGGGAAUAUUGGACAAUGGGCGCAAGCCUGAUCCAGCCAUGCCGCGUGUGUGAAGAAGGCCUUAGGGUUGUAAAGCACUUUCAGUGGGGAGAAAGGUCAUUCACCUAAUACGUGAGUGAAUUGAUGUUACCCACAGAAGAAGCACCGGCUAACUCCGUG
rnacentral:rRNA from 1 species